UUACCCGCUGAACUUAAGCAUAUCAAUAAGCGGAGGAAAAGAAACUAACAAGGAUUCCCCUAGUAACGGCGAGUGAAGCGGGAAAAGCUCAAAUUUGUAAUCUGGCGCCUUCGGCGUCCGAGUUGUAAUCUCGAGAAGUAUUUUCCGCGCUGGACCGCACAUAAGUCUGUUGGAAUACAGCGUCAUAGUGGUGAGAACCCCGUAUAUGGUGCGGAUGCCCAGUGCUUUGUGAUAUACUUUCGAAGAGUCGAGUUGUUUGGGAAUGCAGCUCAAAUUGGGUGGUAAAUUCCAUCUAAAGCUAAAUACUGGCGAGAGACCGAUAGCGAACAAGUACCGUGAGGGAAAGAUGAAAAGCACUUUGGAAAGAGAGUUAACAGUACGUGAAAUUGUUGGAAGGGAAACGCUUGAAGUCAGACUUGCAUUUUGGAGUUCAGCCGCAAGGUGUACUCUUCAAUUCGCAGGCCAGCAUCAGUUUUCGGGGGUGGAAAAUCGUGGUUUGAAGGUAGCAGUCUCGGCUGUGUUAUAGCUUUCCGCUGGAUUCACUUUUGGGGACUGAGGAACGCAGUACGCUUUUUGCAAGACUCUCGAGUCUUUCGUACUUAGGAUGCUGGUGGAAUGGCUUUAAACGACCCGUCUU
rnacentral:rRNA from 1 species